UGAGGAAUAUUGGUCAAUGGACGAGAGUCUGAACCAGCCAAGUAGCGUGCAGGAUGACGGCCCUAUGGGUUGUAAACUGCUUUUGUUUGGGAAUAAUCGACAUUACGUGUAAUGUUUUGCAUGUACCAUUCGAAUAAGGACCGGCUAAUUCCGUGCCAGCAGCCGCGGUAAUACGGAAGGUCCAGGCGUUAUCCGGAUUUAUUGGGUUUAAAGGGAGUGUAGGCGGUUGGUUACGCGUGUUGUGAAAUGUAGAUGCUCAACAUCUGACUUGCAGCGCGAACUGGCUGACUUGAGUACACACAACGUAGACGGAAUUCAUCGUGUAGCGGUGAAAUGCUUAGAUAUCAUGAAGAACUCCGAUUGCGAAGGCAGCUUACGGGAGUGUUACUGACGCUUAAGCUCGAAGGUGCGGGUAUCGAACAGG
rnacentral:rRNA from 1 species